rfam:Schistosoma margrebowiei strain Zambia genome assembly, scaffold: SMRZ_contig0010697
GCACUGCCGAAGAGUCCAAUACUAGGAUGAAACGGACGUCCAGUGU